CGCGGGGAGAUCCCGGUGGAAGCCACGGCUGAGCGGAGCUCCCUGUGAGCAGCCUUACCUGCUCCUCACUGCUGCCAAGUGUCGGGUGCUGCUCGGUGUAGCCCUCUUCCCAGAGAGCCUCCGGUCUGUUUCCUUGCAUAACCGAUGCAUUGGGGAAUUUUUGUACAAGAUGCUGUGGUGCUCUUGUUGCUUGUGUGGCAGCAGCUCAAGGGACUGGGCCCAGCCCUGCUGGAGGAGAACAGGACCAGUGACAGCCUGACAUUGCCCCAGAGGCUUCUCAACUCCUGGGUAACUUCAUCCUCAGCUGCUGAAGGUGGCUGCUGGGUCACUUUUGUCAGUGGGACUGGAAGGGAGCCAUCACCUGCCUCCUGGAUGGCCUGCCAGCCCUGGUGUGUGGUUAAACAGGAAAUAUUCUAACUGGCUGGGAUCCCAGUGAGCAAUUACAAAUAUUUUAUUAUAGUUAAAGGACUUGGAAUUCAGCCUCAGGCUGUGGGCAUCAGAAAAUCCAUGUGUGGAAAUCCCAAGUGUUGCAAGCAGCCUGGGAGGGUUUUAUAUGGAGGGAUUCCUUCUCAUUUUACUGAAGUUACACUCGUGGUUUAAAAAUAAAAUAAAAAGCUUGGACUUGCA
rnacentral:lncRNA from 1 species